CUCGUCACAUCCUGGGGCUGGAGAAGGUUCCAAGGGUUCGGCUGUUCGCCGAUUAAAGUGGCACGCGAGCUGGGUUCAGAACGUCGUGAGACAGUUCGGUCCCUAUCUGUGGUGGGCGUUGGAAUAUUGAGGGGGUCUGUCCUUAGUACGAGAGGACCGGGAUGGACCAACCGCUGGCGUAUCGGUUGUCUGGCCGCAGGCACGGCCGAGUAGCUACGUUGGGUUAAGAUAAGCGCUGAAGGCAUCUAAGUGCGAAACUGGCCCCGAGAUGAAUGUUCCGGUAUAAAGGGGCGUUGGAGACGACGACGUUGAUAGGCGGCAGGUGGAGGUGCGGAGACGCAUGGAGCUGAGCCGUACUAAUGGCCCCGGACGCGUAAGUAU
rnacentral:rRNA from 1 species